AUGAACGCUAGCGGCAGGCCUAAUACAUGCAAGUCGGACGGGAUUCAGGAGCUUGCUUCUGCUGAGAGUGGCGCACGGGUGCGUAACACGUAUGUAACCUACCUUUAUCAGGGGGAUAGCCUCUCGAAAGAGAGAUUAAGCCCGCAUAAAAUCACAGCACAGCAUUGUGUAAUGAUCAAAUAUUUAUAGGAUAAAGAUGGGCAUGCGGAACAUUAGCUAGAUGGCGGGGUAACGGCCCACCAUGGCGACGAUGUUUAGGGGAUCUGAGAGGAUGGCCCCCCACACUGGUACUGAGACACGGACCAGACUCCUACGGGAGGCAGCAGUAAGGAAUAUUGGUCAAUGGGCGGAAGCCUGAACCAGCCAUGCCGCGUGCAGGAAGACGGCCCUACGGGUUGUAAACUGCUUUUAUACGGGAAUAAACCCAGAUACGUGUAUCUGGCUGAAUGUACUGUAAGAAUAAGGAUCGGCUAACUCCGUG
rnacentral:rRNA from 1 species